UGCAGUCGAGCGGACAGAUGGGAGCUUGCUCCCUGAUGUUAGCGGCGGACGGGUGAGUAACACGUGGGUAACCUGCCUGUAAGACUGGGAUAACUCCGGGAAACCGGGGCUAAUACCGGAUGCUUGUUUGAACCGCAUGGUUCAAACAUAAAAGGUGGCUUCGGCUACCACUUACAGAUGGACCCGCGGCGCAUUAGCUAGUUGGUGAGGUAACGGCUCACCAAGGCAACGAUGCGUAGCCGACCUGAGAGGGUGAUCGGCCACACUGGGACUGAGACACGGCCCAGACUCCUACGGGAGGCAGCAGUAGGGAAUCUUCCGCAAUGGACGAAAGUCUGACGGAGCAACGCCGCGUGAGUGAUGAAGGUUUUCGGAUCGUAAAGCUCUGUUGUUAGGGAAGAACAAGUACCGUUCGAAUAGGGCGGUACCUUGACGGUACCUAACCAGAAAGCCACGGCUAACUACGUGCCAGCAGCCGCGGUAAUACGUAGGUGGCAAGCGUUGUCCGGAAUUAUUGGGCGUAAAGGGCUCGCAGGCGGUUUCUUAAGUCUGAUGUGAAAGCCCCCGGCUCAACCGGGGAGGGUCAUUGGAAACUGGGGAACUUGAGUGCAGAAGAGGAGAGUGGAAUUCCACGUGUAGCGGUGAAAUGCGUAGAGAUGUGGAGGAACACCAGUGGCGAAGGCGACUCUCUGGUCUGUAACUGACGCUGAGGAGCGAAAGCGUGGGGAGCGAACAGGAUUAGAUACCCUGGUAGUCCACGCCGUAAACGAUGAGUGCUAAGUGUUAGGGGGUUUCCGCCCCUUAGUGCUGCAGCUAACGCAUUAAGCACUCCGCCUGGGGAGUACGGUCGCAAGACUGAAACUCAAAGGAAUUGACGGGGGCCCGCACAAGCGGUGGAGCAUGUGGUUUAAUUCGAAGCAACGCGAAGAACCUUACCAGGUCUUGACAUCCUCUGACAAUCCUAGAGAUAGGACGUCCCCUUCGGGGGCAAAAUGACAGGUGGUGCAUGGUUGUCGUCAGCUCGUGUCCUGAGAUGUUGGGUUAAGUCCCGCAACGAGCGCAACCCUUGAUCUUAGUUGCCAGCAUUCAGUUGGGCACUCUAAGGUGACUGCCGGUGACAAACCGGAGGAAGGUGGGGAUGACGUCAAAUCAUCAUGCCCCU
rnacentral:rRNA from 1 species